UAGGGAAUCUUCGGCAAUGGGGGGAACCCUGACCGAGCAACGCCGCAUGAGUGAAGAAGGUUUUCGGAUCGUAAAGCUCUGUUGUUAAGGAAGAACGAGUGUGAGAAUGGAAAGUUCAUACUGUGACGGUACUUAACCAGAAAGGGACGGCUAACUACGUGCCAGCAGCCGCGGUAAUACGUAGGUCCCGAGCGUUGUCCGGAUUUAUUGGGCGUAAAGCGAGCGCAGGCGGUUAGAUAAGUCUGAAGUGAAAGGCAGUGGCUCAACCAUUGUAGGCUUUGGAAACUGUUUAACUUGAGUGCAGAAGGGGAGAGUGGAAUUCCAUGUGUAGCGGUGAAAUGCGUAGAUAUAUGGAGGAACACCGGUGGCGAAAGCGGCUCUCUGGUCUGUAACUGACGCUGAGGCUCGAAAGCGUGGGGAGCGAACAGG
rnacentral:rRNA from 1 species